AGAGUAACAACCAUUAGAUCCUUGGAAAAUGUCCAAUUUAAUUACUCCAAUAACUUACAUUUGAUUAAUUGAUUUAACAACUACUUCUCCAGAUAUUUACAAAGUUCAACCAUAGUAACAUUAGGAGUCUAAUCCAAAACCUACUGCCGAGCCUCAUCUCUCAAACAGGCUGGAUCACUUGCCGGUCUCUAAACAAAUGUAGCUCAGAUUCGUGUUGCUCCCUUUAUAAAGGACAUUCAGUACAAGAAGCUAAGUGAAGCCAUUUUGUUAGUUGAAUUCAUAAAACAUGAGAGUCAGUGAUCAGUACAAGCACAAAACGACCCCAUCAAACUCCUAAGAGAACUUAUAUGAAAGAAAAUGCAUACCAAGAAACUUUGUAGAUUCUUUAAGGGUGCAAUGAUUCUCUUGAACUGAAUAUGUUGCAAAUUAACAAUGGUCAAUGAUAGGGGCUACCUGCAAACCAGAAACCAUAAAAAGAAGCAAGAGUGAAACUCUGAAAUC
rnacentral:lncRNA from 1 species